rnacentral:lncRNA from 1 species
CGUCUCGAUUGGUUGCAUUGGCAAGUUUAGCAUCAGUUGAAAGGAUCAAAGAAAAUAAUUGGUUAGGUGGCAAGUUCACAAAAAGACUGGCUCCCUGCAAAUAAAAAAGUAAAAUAUUAUUUCAACAAUUACUCUACUCUUAAUUUAAUUGUAGUUAGAAUCAGUUUUCUGUUAGUCUUUUUCGGUUAUCUAGUUGUUUGGUUGUUAUACUAUUUAGCUCGAUUACAGUUAGAGACUUAGUUUCACAUUAUGUGUAACUACAAAUACGUUCAAUUAGAUCAGUUAAUCAGAAAAUUCUCUACUUUUCUCUCAUUUUCCUAUUAAGUACAGUAACAGUUGUGAUACUUAAAUAUAUAAACGGGACAUACAUUCAACAAAUAACUCAUUUUUCUCUUUUUACAUAUAUUACAUCAAUUACUUCUUACUCUUCGGUACUUUUUUUGUCUGAGUAUCUAUUGAAUAUAUGCACUAUAAAAACGUCUACAAAUAAUUUUCCUUACAAUAAUAGCAAUUGAAUUUAAGCCAGCUUAAAUAUAUACAAUUUUUUUGUUGUUGUCUAUUAUUAGAGAUUUAAGGGAAUAUGCCAUUUAAGGGAAUCCUCAUAACUCUCCUAAAUGAGAUUUUUUUUUCUUUGUUCUGUUUGUUUUUUCUGAUUCCUCCCAUGUUUCCUCAUUUUCUCUGUUUUCUUUUGGCCUUGGGUCUGUACAAUUACAUUUGUUUCUCUUUGGCACAUCUUGAGCUCUAUAUAUAUAAAUUUGGGUUAUCUAAAAAAAAGAGAUUUUUUUCAAUUCACAUUACUUAGAUAAAGAAUAACAAUAAGUUGAAGAAAGAAGGAUGAUACCGUAAUUUGUUGGUUGUUACCCAAAGUUAUAGUACUGCUGAACUCUCUAUCAAUGGUGCUAGCAGCAACAGUAAACACCCAUGGAGCCACAUUCAACACAGUUCCAAGUGCAGGUCCAUCAUUCCCUGCAGAAGCAACUACUAAUAUAUUUUUGGCAAGUGCAUGAAAUGAUCCUAUGGAAACUUCAUCAGUGAAAAUUUCUUCAGCACUGAUAAAAGAUCUUCCUCCAGCAGAUACAGAAAUCACAUCAACACCAUCGCUUAUGGCUUGGUCUAUGGCCGCCAACACAUCCGCGCCAUAGCAACUAGCUGGAUCGGUUAGCGACCAGCACACUUUGUAGGUUGCAACUCGUGCUCUUGGUGAUCCACCUUUUGCUGUGCCAUUACCAUUACUAAAUACUUGUGCUCCAGGAACGAAAUUUCCACCAGCUAUUGAUAGUGUGUGGGUACCAUGGCCUACUAAGUCACGUGCUGUUUGUUGUGUUGGGGG